rnacentral:lncRNA from 1 species
AGAAUCGCCUAAAAAAUGACGUAGCUUUCUAAGCUUGCAAACCUCCUUUGGCAUAUUACGAUUUUCAAACUCUGUAGAUCUUAAAUCCAAAGUCUCUAGGUUCACGAGCAUGCCAAUGGAUUUUGGAAGUUCAGAAUAUUUUUCUCCAAUCACCCUGAACCCAAAAAAUUUCAAGUGGUUCAAACUUCCCAAAUCAUGAGGAAUUUCAAGUUGUUUUGAGCUUAAAGCAAGUACCUUCAACCGCCUAUAUUUUGCAGGGAUCGCCCUUACAAAGGAUUUAGGUAAUGUAUUAGGUUCGAGAACUAGCAGUGAUCGAACAUGUGAGCUUUCAAUACCUUCCAUUAGAUUAUAAGAACUGGUUGCCAUUGAUAGGCGUCGAGUCACUCUAGUUAAAGAAAAUUGAUUGUCCUCAGUAAUAUUCUUGCAAAAACUUAAAUCCUCAUAUUUCUCAAGGAUCAUUGCAUGCACUAAAUCAUGAACACGACAACUUUUUACUCUUCCAUCAAUACUUAUUGAAACUACAUGCACCAAACUUCUAUUGACCAACUCUAUUAAAUAUCCUUUUGCAAUAUCUUCCAAUGUCCUUCCCCUCUCUUCUUUCACGAACCCUUCAGCAAUCCAUUGGCGAGUCAAUGUUUUUGAACGAACUAUAUAGUCUUCAGGAUAUAAUCCAAAAUACAAGAAACACGACUUGAGGUAGUAAGGCAAAUCAUGGUAACUAAAUCCUAGAAUUUUUCUUAUUAUGGAAUAUUCAUUUGACUGAUCUGCAUUUAUAUUUUCACUAAACUUGUACCAUUCAGUAGGAUUUCUAUCUUUGCAAGAUAAAAGACCACCAGUGACUACAAUUGCUAGAGGUAAUCCUUUGCAUUUUUUAACAAUUUUGGAAGAUAUAUCAAUAAGAUUUUGUGGACAACAUCCACUCAAGUUAUGGAAUGCCUUCUUAUUGAACAAUUCUAAAGAUUUUUCUUCAGUUAAACCUUGAAGUUCAUGUACUUCAACAAAAGAAGAUCUCUUAAAAGAAUUUGCAACAUUCAUUUUCCUUGUUGUGAUUAAUACCUUAGAACCAUUUAAGUUAUCAAUCAUAGCAAAUUCAAUAUCAUUCCAAAUAUUUAAGUUCCAUACAUCGUCAAACACGACAAAGUACCUUUUUUGCUGCAACUGUUUUAUCACUUCAUCAAUCAACGGCUCUCCGUUCAUUUCAUAUAUACUCUGAGGAGGAUCUUUCCCUUGUUGUUUGUAAAUCUCGAGCAAAAUGUCCCUCAACAAUUUUUCUUUACUGUAUGAUUGAGACACUGUGAUCCAUACAUGACAGUCAAAUUGUUUUAAGACUUUGAUGUUCUCAAAAACUUUCUUGGCCAGAGUAGUUUUUCCUUGCCCUCCCAUUCCUACAAUAGAGACAACUGCACGCUCUACUCUUCCCCUCACCAGCCAAUUAAACAAUAUGCGUUUGGGCUCUUCAAAGCCCACGACAUCAGCUUCAUUCAUAUGAAAUGGAGCCUGUCGAAGGUUCUGAAAUAAUGAAUUGUUUAUGUUUGGUGCAGAACUACUUGAUGCUUUAUCCGAAGAAGAUUGGAGACGGAAGGCUUGAUCUUUUUCACUUGUAUCUUUUAUUUCACUCAUUCGGGAUUUGAUGUUCUGAAUCGUGUAGGCUAUUUGGAGACGGUGAGCCAUAGUUUUGACACAGUUUGUGGCACCAGCGGCACAUCCAGGAUCAGGAGCUUGUUGUUCCUCAUGGAAGAUAUAAUCAUCAAUGACAUCUUCUAUGUCAAAAGAUGCUUCUAUUAGCUUCUUCAUCCUUGCUUUGAUUGCAUCACUUCUUUUUUUGUCUUCUUCUUCAUCAGCGAAUCUAUCUUCAUUGCUGAUGAAGUCUUCCAUGCUCUCUAGUUCAUCUUUCAAAUCUGCAAUUUCUUUUGGGACACCCCUAAUCAUGUUGAAUGCUACCUUUAAUAGUGGAAGCAAAUGAUCACGAGCGCAGGCAAGUGCAGCGUUACAGUCACACAUUUUGUUGUAUAUUUGAUUUUAAUUUGCUAAUAUUGUGAGUGAGAUUGAAUUGUGAGGAAAAAGCUCAUAGUCCUUCAAGAUUAUAUAACAUAAAGAUCAUUGACUUCGAGUUCAUGUGAAUUAUUGAGCUCUUAGUGUUUAUUAAUUAACCGGUAGUUAAACAAUGCAUCUCAAUCUUAGUUUUAUUUAUUUUUUUCCACAGAUCACAAUCUCAGUAGUUAAAUAAUUCUAAAGAUUGUCAACUCUUCAGUGGGGAUAAAUAAUUUAGUUUUGAAUGGGCAAUUGGCUAUGCAAUGUGAGGUGUAGUUUAACCAUUUUAAAGCCUUAGUCAAAAGAAAGACUUUGUUAACUUAACUCUGGUUAAAGAUUGUUUCAACCAUGGUUUAAGUUUAAUACUCCCAAUUGAUUCAACUGUCACUAGUUAAAGAGAAGACUAACUUUGUUAAUUAGAGUUAAUACUCUAAAUCAACUAAACCUAGAUCCGUGGCUGAUUAGCUGUACCAUUUUGAAAAAAUAAGGGUUAAGAAUAUAUAUUUGUCCUUAUAAAUAUUCUAAUUUCACUAGGAUAUAAUUUGUCAGAAAUAAUUUUGUCCGUAAAAAUAAUUUCACUAGGAUAUUAUUUUUCGUCCGAAAAAAUAAUUUGUUAAAAAUAAUUUUGUUAACGAUAAUGAAAUUCAGAGAUAGGAUAUAAUUUGUCAUCAGCUGAGACAGAAUAUUACAAUUUGAGACAGAAUUUGAUAUUCUUUUUCGAAGAGGCGACAUAAUUUGAUAUUCUAUAAUUAGAGACGAAAAUUAAACACAAAAAUGUCCAUCGCAAGUGUUUUCCAUAUCUCUAAGUCUUUCUUUGACUAGCCAAAAAUAAUAUUUUUUAAAAAAAAUAAAUGCAUGUAGAGACGGAAUAUAGAGAGGAAUGAAAGUAAAGACCGAAUUAAUUCCGUCAAUAAAAAAAGGUUAAUAGUGCUUUAACCUCUAUAAUAUAGAUCAUUUCUGGUUUUCUCUAUGAAAUGUUUUUUUUAGAUUCAUCUUUGUAAUUUGAAGAUUUUUUGAUUUUGUCCCUAGUAAAAUCUUUAUGGCAUCAAAUUACAAAAUUUAUUGUACUUUCGCCCCCUAUAAUUUGAGUAAAUUUCAGUUUGCCCCUAUAAUUUUAGAAGAAAAUUUCGGUUUACCUCAUGCCAUAUAAUCGAUUUUGUACAGUCAAAGUUCAUGUAUGUCCAAAACUAAAAAUCUUCAAAUUAUAAGAACGAAAUCUUAAAAAAAUAUUACAGGAAGGAGUAUCAGAAAUGAGCGAUAUUAAAAUGGGUUAAAAUACUAUUAACCCAAUAAAAAAAUUACUAAUAAAACAAGAUUUUACUCCAAAAUUCAAGAGUCCCCCCAACCCCACUAUUUCCCCUCAUCCAAUCCUAAAAUUACCCCAUCCGUUCACAUUUUCAUAAAACCCUAAACCCUAAACCUCAUUCACCCUAUUCUUCUCUCUCCGUAUUAUAUCCAUCUCUCCGUGUUGAUAGCCAUUUGCAAUUCUCGCUGAUCUGAAAGUGUGUUUCUGGUCGUGUGGAUCCAUCUUCACCCUCGUUCCCGGUCACCUUUGUUUUCACACUCACAUGUGGGAUACUGAAUGUGAUAUGAACUCGACAGAUUAAUUUCUUUUGGUAUACUUCCAGUGAAUUUAGCAUUCAAUUCCUAUUAAUCUUCCAAUUUCAGUGCAUGCUAUAGACUCAAUCAUGCUAAUCACACCUAUAACUUGUUUUCCAAUCGAUGUUUUCUGCAUUAAAUUCAGUUUAUCAAUGAAAGAUUCUAAACUUCAUUUCCAAUUUCCCUAAAAACACUCAUCCCCUCCGUCCUUGCAACGCUUCUACUUCUCCUCCUUUCAACUAUUUUCCUUUCUCAUUAUAGUAUAUCUUCUCGGUAAGCAACUCUUCCUAUUUUUUUUUUCUUUUCAUUUUUCAUUGUGAUUAUCAUUCCUCCAAUUUGCUACACCGUCACUAAUCCAGGUCACGCCACGAAACUUAGCAAGUGUAUUUUUGUUUUUCCCCAAAACAUAAAAAUUGCUUUUGAUGUAGGAUAUUUUUCUUCUAAUUUGUUGUUUAAGUCGUUUAUUCAUCUGUACAAUUUUUUGUUGUUGAUUUAUCUCAUCCUUUUGACGUAGUCGGAAGCGUAGACUAACAAGCGCUAAACAGCAGCACCUUUGUUUUGACACAUUUUGUGACACCAGCAGCACAUCCGGUAGUUAAACAAUGCAUAUCAAUCUUAUUCGGAAUAGAUAAGACACCAGCUCUUGAUCAUUCAUCUCACUAGUUAAAUAAUUUAAAUUAGUUUUGAAUCGCCAAUUGGCUAUGCAAUGUGAGGUAAUCUUUAACCAUUUUAAAGUCUUGGACAAAAGAAAGACUUUGUUAACUCAGGUUAAAGAUUGUUUCCACCAUGGUUUAAGUUUAAUAAUCCCAACUGAUUCAACAAUCACUAGUUAAAGAGAAGAUUAGCUUUGUUAAUUUCCAUGGUCGUUCUUUAAUUAUUUUUUUAAGGUUAGAUUUUAUUAAUUCAUAUUGACGACUUAAAAAAGUAUUUUUCUCUAGUCUCUACACAAUUCAAGUAAAUGAUGACACAAAACGAAUUUUUACUCCAUUCGGGAGGGUUUUUUUUUUUCUUUUCUUUUGAUUCAGGUACUCAUGUUUAAAUUUUGUUGAUGAUAUUAAUGAAUUGACCAUCAAUGGUGGGUCCACAAUAAUACAGAAAUAAUACAAAGAAAAGGGGUAGCAGCACCCAAGAUAAGUAAAAACAACAAACAAAUCUCAAGAGGAAGAAGCAAAGUUCACACAACAUAUUAAUUUCUUACAUCAUUCAAUGUGAAGAUCUAACAACAUAUAUUAUACAUCAUAAAAUGACAAAGUAGGUAUACAUAACAAUGAAAAACAACACAUUCUUUUUUAUUGAGGAAUGGAAGUGCCAAAACAGGAACACUUGAUGAAUUUUGAAUCUCAAAUCCACAGAUGACCAUCACCUGCAGUUCAAUCCAAAUUAUCAAUAUAAAACACAAUCGUUACAAUGACUGUACAAUUUAAUAUAAGGAUGCCAUUAAAAAAAAACGCUUAAUAUAAGGAUUGGAAAAAGGAAAGAAAGAAAGAAAGAAAGAAAACUUGAAGAUCUAGAUCAAAGCCCAAAUAUGAUUGAUAUGUAAAAUUAAAAUAAAUAAAUAAAUUAAAAGUUAUUUAUAAGAUGUCGAGAAAGUAUUUUACUAAAAAUUACAUAAUGCGUAUUUUGAUGACUAAACAAUAAAUAUUACCACAAUUUUUUGUCUUCUUCAAAUUGUAGGGAAACGAAAGCGUACCUUUUAUCUCUCAAUUAGAAAAUUACGACAGAGGGCACUUGGUUGAAGAUCCAAUGCUCUUUUCCUUCAUCAGAAGCAAUACUCUCUUUAAGUUCAUCACUCAUAUCAUAAAGAAUGAGAACUUCAAGCUUUUGUAAGUGUUGAAUGCCACUUGGUAACGUCAUCAGUUGGGGGAUGGACCCUAAUUUUAGCAUUUUCAGACAACCGAAUGCACCUUCGUCAAUAAGGAUAUAUCUCAAUUUAUUGAAAUGAAAAAUAAUUAGUUCCUUCAAAUUCGUAAACCAUCCAACUUGAAAAUGUAACCUUUCGAAUUUGUCUUCAUAAUAAUCAGAACCAUCCGAGAUAUGGAGGGACAACAAGUUUGGCAUACUUAUGAGUAAUUUCAUUGCAUCAUUUUGUUGCUUCGUAAGUGUCACUCUAAGCUUAACAAGGUUUCUGAGUUUUUGAAUCCACUCAGGAAACUUAUAUAAAUUCCCGUCGAAUUUAACAUGUUGAAGCUUAGGUGGGGGUGAAUUCAAAUCCAGAUCAAUGAAUGUGUUAGUAGAUUGGACUCCACUAAUAAUUAGUUUCUCCAAUUGUUGCAUCUCGUUGAUUGAGAAAGAUAUAGCACUCAUAUAUUUACUCCUAACACCGGUCAAGCCCAAUUUCCUUAGCUGUUUUAGCUUUCCUAGCUCUUGGAUUAGCUCUACAACUCUAUUAUCAUUUUCACGUUCACUAUCAUUUAAGUGUACUCCACUUAGAGUUUGUAGGGAUGUCAUGCCUCCAAUACCAUCCUUCAACUCAAUCAAAGACAUACGAUAGCCUAAAAAAUGGCGUAGCUUUCUAAGCUUGCAAAUCUCCUUCGGCAUAUUAUCAUUUACAAAAUAUGUAUCUCUUAAAUCCAAAGUCUCUAGGUUCACGAGCAUGCCAAUGGAUUUUGGAAGUUCAAAACAUUUACCUACAUUUAUCCCAAAAUAUUUCAAGUGCUUCAAACUUCCCAAAUCAAUAGGAAUU